rnacentral:rRNA from 1 species
CAGCCGCCGCGGUAAUACGUAUGGGGCAAGCGUUAUCCGGAAUUAUUGGGCGUAAAGAGUGCGUAGGUGGUUACCUAAGCGCAAGGUUUAAUCUUGAGGCUCAACCUCAUUCUGCCUUGCGAACUGGGCUACUUGAGUGCAGGAGGGGAAAGCGGAAUUCCCAGUGUAGCGGUGAAAUGCGUAGAUAUUGGGAAGAACACCGGUGGCGAAGGCGGCUUUCUGGACUGUAACUGACACUGAGGCACGAAAGCGUGGGGAGCAAACAGGAUUAGAUACCCUGGUAGUCCACGCCGUAAACGAUGAGCACUAGUUGUUGGGUACGAAUGUAUUCAGUGACGCAGUUAACGCAAUAAGUGCUCCGCCUGGGGAGUACGGUGGCAACACUAAAACUCAAAGGAAUUGACGGGGACCCGCACAAGCAGCGGAGCAUGUGGUUUAAUUCGAAGCAACGCGAAAAACCUUACCAGGGCUUGACAUCCCUCUGACCGGAUCCUAACCGAUCCUUUCUUCGGACAGAGGUGACAGGUGGUGCAUGGCC